rnacentral:lncRNA from 10 species
UUUAAUUUUUGUGGGUACAUAGUAGGUAUAUGUAUUUAUGGGGUAUACGAGAUGUUUUGAUAUAGGCAUGCAAUGUAUAUAAUCACAUCAGGUAAAUUGGGGUAUCCAUCCCCUCGAGCAUUUAGCCUUUGUGUUACAAAUAAUUCAAUUAUACUCUUUUAGUUAUUUUAAAUGUAUGAUUAAAUUAUUGUUGAUUAUAGUCACCCUAUUGUGAUAUGAAAUACUAGGUCUAAUUGACUGGUUUUGAUAGUGUACUUGAGUUGGUUAAGAAGUUACCUUUGGGGGAAACUAAAUGAAGGGUGAGGGUCCUCUAUGUACUAUUUUAGCAACUUCCUAGGAAUCUAUAAUCAUUUCAAAAUCAUUUUCCACUGUUUCCAUGUUAAGAAAUUUCUCCAACUACGGAUUAUAUUUUCACAAAUAUCUAUUUUUGUAAACUUAUAGAAUUCUUCAAAAACAAAAAAAUUGUAAGAAAAAUGUAAAACUAGCGGAAAAAGCCCCUGGAAUUUUUUUUUUUUUUUUUUUUUGAGGCUGAGUCUCACUCUAUUGCCCAGGUUGGAGUGCAGUGGCAUGAUCUCAGCUCACUGUAACCUCCGCCUCCCAGGUUCAAGCAAUUCUCAUGCCUCAGCCUCCAGAAGUACAAUUUUAUGAUUUCUCAGUUUCCCACUAGUUUCCUAGGAUCAUUUAACUUUUUGUCUUUAAAUUCUUUUCUACCAGGAAUUUUUAGUGAUCCAAUUAUCUGAAAGGAGAGAAAAAAGUUAAAAUGGGGUUUAGACUAUUAAUCAUAUUUUAAAAAAUGUUCUUGGUCUCUGAAACAGAAGUACUUAAAUUCGUCUUUCUAAUAAAAAAAUUAUGACGCAGGUUUGUAAGUCAUGGCAUAAAGCAAACAUGUACUAUGGUAUAACUGCUGCCCAAAGAAGUGACGAUGUGAGAUGAUUAUGCAAAAUGUAGGACAUUUCUAG